UACGUAGGGUGCGAGCGUUGUCCGGAUUUAUUGGGCGUAAAGAGCUCGUAGGCGGCUUGUCGCGUCGACUGUGAAAACCCGCGGCUCAACUGCGGGCCUGCAGCCGAUACGGGCAGGCUAGAGUUCGGUAGGGGAGACUGGAAUUCCUGGUGUAGCGGUGAAAUGCGUAGAGAUCAGGAGGAACACCCGAGGCGAAGGCGGCCCUCUGGCUCGACCCUGACGCUGAGGCGCGAAAGCGUGGGGAGCGAACGGG
rnacentral:rRNA from 1 species